CCUACUUUUGUCUGCAUUGGGGAAUAUUGGACAAUUGGGGGAACCCUGAUCCAGCCAUGCCGCGUGUGUGAAGAAGGCCCUCGGGUUGUAAAGCACUUUCAGUGAGGAAGAACGCCUGGUGGUUAAUACCCAUCAGGAAAGACAUCACUCACAGAAGAAGCACCGGCUAACUCCGUGCCAGCAGCCGCGGUAAUACGGAGGGUGCGAGCGUUAAUCGGAAUUACUGUGCGUAAAGCGCGCGUAGGUGGCUUGAUAAGCCGGUUGUGAAAGCCCCGGGCUCAACCUGGGAACGGCAUCCGGAACUGUCAAGCUAGAGUGCCGGAGAGGAGGGUAGAAUACCCGGUGUAGCGGUGAAAUGCGUAGAGAUCGGGAGGAAUACCAGUGGCGAAGGCGGCCAUCUGGACUGACACUGACACUGAGGUGCGAAAGCGUGGGUAGCAAACAGGAUUAGAUACCCUGGUAGUC
rnacentral:rRNA from 1 species